rnacentral:rRNA from 1 species
GGGUUGUGAGGUUAAGCGACUAAGCGUACACGGUGGAUGCCCUGGCAGUCAGAGGCGAUGAAGGACGUGCUAAUCUGCGAUAAGCGUCGGUNNNNNNNNNNNNNNNNNNNNNNNNNNNNNNNNNNNNNNNNNNNNNNNNNNNNNNNNNNNNNNNNNNNNNNNNNNNNNNNNNGCGAUACAGGGUGACAGCCCCGUACACAAAAAUGCACAUACUGUGAGCUCGAUGAGUAGGGCGGGACACGUGGUAUCCUGUCUGAAUAUGGGGGGACCAUCCUCCAAGGCUAAAUACUCCUGACUGACCGAUAGUGAACCAGUACCGUGAGGGAAAGGCGAAAAGAACCCCGGCGAGGGGAGUGAAAAAGAACCUGAAACCGUGUACGUACAAGCAGUGGGAGCCUCUUAAUGGGGUGACUGCGUACCUUUUGUAUAAUGGGUCAGCGACUUAUAUUCUGUAGCAAGGUUAACCGAAUAGGGGAGCCGAAGGGAAACCGAGUCUUAACUGGGCGUUAAGUUGCAGGGUAUAGACCCGAAACCCGGUGAUCUAGCCAUGGGCAGGUUGAAGGUUGGGUAACACUAACUGGAGGACCGAACCGACUAAUGUUGAAAAAUUAGCGGAUGACUUGUGGCUGGGGGUGAAAGGCCAAUCAAACCGGGAGAUAGCUGGUUCUCCCCGAAAGCUAUUUAGGUAGCGCCUCGUGAAUUCAUCUCCGGGGGUAGAGCACUGUUUCGGCAAGGGGGUCAUCCCGACUUACCAACCCGAUGCAAACUGCGAAUACCGGAGAAUGUUAUCACGGGAGACACACGGCGGGUGCUAACGUCCGUCGUGAAGAGGGAAACAACCCAGACCGCCAGCUAAGGUCCCAAAGUCAUGGUUAAGUGGGAAACGAUGUGGGAAGGCCCAGACAGCCAGGAUGUUGGCUUAGAAGCAGCCAUCAUUUAAAGAAAGCGUAAUAGCUCACUGGUCGAGUCGGCCUGCGCGGAAGAUGUAACGGGGCUAAACCAUGCACCGAAGCUGCGGCAGCGACACUAUGUGUUGUUGGGUAGGGGAGCGUUCUGUAAGCCUGUGAAGGUGUACUGUGAGGUAUGCUGGAGGUAUCAGAAGUGCGAAUGCUGACAUAAGUAACGAUAAAGCGGGUGAAAAGCCCGCUCGCCGGAAGACCAAGGGUUCCUGUCCAACGUUAAUCGGGGCAGGGUGAGUCGACCCCUAAGGCGAGGCCGAAAGGCGUAGUCGAUGGGAAACAGGUUAAUAUUCCUGUACUUGGUGUUACUGCGAAGGGGGGACGGAGAAGGCUAUGUUGGCCGGGCGACGGUUGUCCCGGUUUAAGCGUGUAGGCUGGUUUUCCAGGCAAAUCCGGAAAAUCAAGGCUGAGGCGUGAUGACGAGGCACUACGGUGCUGAAGCAACAAAUGCCCUGCUUCCAGGAAAAGCCUCUAAGCAUCAGGUAACAUCAAAUCGUACCCCAAACCGACACAGGUGGUCAGGUAGAGAAUACCAAGGCGCUUGAGAGAACUCGGGUGAAGGAACUAGGCAAAAUGGUGCCGUAACUUCGGGAGAAGGCACGCUGAUAUGUAGGUGAAGUCCCUUGCGGAUGGAGCUGAAAUCAGUCGAAGAUACCAGCUGGCUGCAACUGUUUAUUAAAAACACAGCACUGUGCAAACACGAAAGUGGACGUAUACGGUGUGACGCCUGCCCGGUGCCGGAAGGUUAAUUGAUGGGGUUAGCGGUAACGCGAAGCUCUUGAUCGAAGCCCCGGUAAACGGCGGCCGUAACUAUAACGGUCCUAAGGUAGCGAAAUUCCUUGUCGGGUAAGUUCCGACCUGCACGAAUGGCGUAAUGAUGGCCAGGCUGUCUCCACCCGAGACUCAGUGAAAUUGAACUCGCUGUGAAGAUGCAGUGUACCCGCGGCAAGACGGAAAGACCCCGUGAACCUUUACUAUAGCUUGACACUGAACAUUGAGCCUUGAUGUGUAGGAUAGGUGGGAGGCUUUGAAGUGUGGACGCCAGUCUGCAUGGAGCCGGCCUUGAAAUACCACCCUUUAAUGUUUGAUGUUCUAACGUUGGCCCCUGAUCGGGGUUGCGGACAGUGUCUGGUGGGUAGUUUGACUGGGGCGGUCUCCUCCUAAAGAGUAACGGAGGAGCACGAAGGUUGGCUAAUCCUGGUCGGACAUCAGGAGGUUAGUGCAAUGGCAUAAGCCAGCUUGACUGCGAGCGUGACGGCGCGAGCAGGUGCGAAAGCAGGUCAUAGUGAUCCGGUGGUUCUGAAUGGAAGGGCCAUCGCUCAACGGAUAAAAGGUACUCCGGGGAUAACAGGCUGAUACCGCCCAAGAGUUCAUAUCGACGGCGGUGUUUGGCACCUCGAUGUCGGCUCAUCACAUCCUGGGGCUGAAGUAGGUCCCAAGGGUAUGGCUGUUCGCCAUUUAAAGUGGUACGCGAGCUGGGUUUAGAACGUCGUGAGACAGUUCGGUCCCUAUCUGCCGUGGGCGCUGGAGAACUGAGGGGGGCUGCUCCUAGUACGAGAGGACCGGAGUGGACGCAUCACUGGUGUUCGGGUUGUCAUGCCAAUGGCACUGCCCGGUAGCUAAAUGCGGAAGAGAUAAGUGCUGAAAGCAUCUAAGCACGAAACUUGCCCCGAGAUGAGUUCUCCCUGACUC